rfam:Edhazardia aedis TSNM 41457 supercont1.62, whole genome shotgun sequence.
GGUCUCAUGGCCCAAUGGUUAAGGCGCUAGCCUACGAAGCUGGAGAUUCGGGGUUCGAGUCCCCGUGGGAUCG